GAGUGAAGACCACAGCUGAUUUAUUUAGUCUCUGCUGUCGAAGAUCUUAGCUGUUGCCUUUGUGAGUAAGAAACCUAAUGACUGAAAAUGGAUGCACAGAGAUACGAUCUUUCUCUAGCGAGGAAGGUUUUGGUUGUUAUCCUUUUGAGUAAUGAGGUUAGAAAUCUAUCCUAAACGCCUGACAGCUGGUUCAUCAGUCUCUGGUGAUGGAGGCUUGGAUAUGCGCCAGUGUGACGUGGAGUGCAGAGGCUGACCCCAGGAACUGUCAACGUUCUCCCAUCUGAACACAGGCCCCUGUCAUGAGGUUCUGAGUUAGAGAGUUGUGAUUUUUAUCAUCGAAAAAGAUGUUCCCAAGAUGGUGUUCCCAAGAUGGUGACUGAAUUCUUC